rnacentral:rRNA from 1 species
CAUUCGAGUGGCGGACGGGUCGAGUAACGCGUGGGUAACCUGCCUUACACAGGGGGAUAACACCUGGAAACAGGUGCUAAUACCGCAUAAGCGCACAGGGCCGCAUGGCCCGGUGUGAAAAACUCCGGUGGUGUAAGAUGGACCCGCGUCUGAUUAGCUUGUUGGCGGGGUAGGGGCCCACCAAGGCGACGAUCAGUAGGCCGGCCUGAGAGGGUCGGACGGCCACAUUGGGACUGAGACACGGCCCAACUCCUACGGAAGGCAGCAG